rnacentral:rRNA from 1 species
UCGCCCGCCGCGCGCGGCGGGCGGGGCGGGGGCACGGGGGGCCUACGGGAGGCAGCAGUAGGGAAUCUUCCGCAAUGGACGAAAGUCUGGCGGAGCAACGCCGCGUGAGUGAAGAAGGUUUUCGGAUCGUAAAACUCUGUUGUUAGAGAAGAACAAGGAUGAGAGUAACUGCUCGUCCCUUGACGGUAUCUAACCAGAAAGCCAUGGCUAACUACGUGCCAGCAGCCGCGGUAAUA